AGAGUUUGAUCCUGGCUCAGGAUGAACGCUGGCGGCGUGCCUAAUACAUGCAAGUCGAACGGAGAUUGUAGCAAUACGGUCUUAGUGGCGAACGGGCGAGUAACGCGUUGAUGACCUGCCCCGAAGUGUGGGAUAACAGUUCGAAAGGAUUGCUAAUACCGCAUGUGAUCAUUGGGAUUAGAUGCCCUUUGAUUAAAGGAGAAAUUCGCUUUGGGAGGGAUCUGCGUACCAUCAGCUAGUUGGUAGGGUAACGGCCUACCAAGGCGAUGACGGUUAGGGGACCUGAGAGGGUGGACCCCCGCACUGGCACUGAAACACGGGCCAGACACCUACGGGUGGCAGCAGUAGGGAAUAUUGGUUAAUGGGCGAAAGCCCGAACCAGCAACGCCGCGUGCACGAUGAAGGCCUUCGGGUCGUAAAGUGCUUUUUGGAGGGAUGAGGAAGGACAGUACCUUCAGAAUAAGCCUCGGCUAACUACGUGCCAGCAGCCGCGGUAAGACGUAGGAGGCGAGCGUUAUCCGGAUUUACUGGGCGUAAAGCGUGUGCAGGCGGUUUGGUUAGUUGGAUGUGAAAGCUCCUGGCUUAACUGGGAGAGGUCGUUCAAUACUGCCAGACUUGAGGAUGGGAGAGGAAGGUGGAAUUCCGAGUGUAGUGGUGAAAUGCGUAGAUAUUCGGAGGAACACCAGUGGCGAAAGCGGCCUUCUGGCCCAUCUCUGACGCUCAUACACGAAAGCUAGGGGAGCAAACGGGAUUAGAGACCCCGGUAGUCCUAGCUGUAAACGAUGUAACUUGGCGUCGGCGGGUUUA
rnacentral:rRNA from 1 species